rnacentral:lncRNA from 1 species
UUGGCACACCAGCUCUCUCACACUUCACCCACCACCCACCACCAUCAUAACACCAUCAUCCACCACCAUCAUCCAUUGUCCAUCAUAGAGUGUGUGAGUCGUCUCGGUAUCCAAGAUUGAUCGUAAGAGUUCUUGACAAUCAAAGGCCAUGUUUGCCUAAGUCUCUUACAUCACUUGGUGAAGACAAGUGUUUAGUGUAAUACUUUUUAUUUUUAAUCUUUUGCACUUUUAAUUGGUUUUGUAUUAAUGACUUUAAUUACUAGUUUCUUAUGUUGAAGGUGAUUCUUCCUUAUCGUUUGUCCGUGGUGUCUUGGCAUUAUUUUACUGUCUAUAUAAAAUAAAAGAUUUUCACCAUUCAUAUCUCCACGGUCUAUAUGGAGGUAUGUUGGCUACCUGGUCGGGGGUUAAGGGAAUGGUUUGGUAAGAGUCUUGCCAUUGUUCAGUGUAUAGAUCCUGCAAAGGACAUGGGUCAAAUUUAGUAGGACCUCCUUCAAUGCCCAAAAUGUAUUGGAUGGCGGGGGUCCAAACUCUUUGAUCCCCUCAUAAGUUAAACUACUAUUAAAACUUUAACCCAGCUACUUAGGACUGUAUCCCUGCUGACUCAGACUACUUAGCUGAGGGUAACGUCGCCUUCAAAAGAGGGGCCUACCACAUUAUGCAUUAAUAACUUAAUUAAUUAUCUUUCAAUAAUCCGACCCUUUAGGAUUGUAUCCUUGCUGACUCAAACUACUGGGUUGAGGGUAACGUCGCCUUCAAAAGAGGGGCCUACUACAAUAACUAAGAUAAUCUCUUAAACAAGUGCAAAAGUGCGAAAAUAAUCAAAGGUUACACUACACAUGAGUCGGAUCCAAGUGAUUCAUCUUGUCUAUCUGUUUUACUUUUAUUUUAUUUUUCAGCAUUUUAGUUAGUUUUAUUUUCUUAGUUUAAAACCUUUUUCUAACAUUUUGAUUUGAUUAGACGUUGAUGAUAAACCGGUACUAAAAGCUCUUGUGUCCUUGGACGACCUCGGUAUCUUACCAACACUAUACUACGUCCACGAUGGGUGCACUUGCCCAUAUGUGUGUUUAGUGUUAGUAAAUAUCGUGUUUUAUAAAGGGCUUAAAAUAUAUACCUAAAUUAUAUUACACUCAACACACAUCAAGCAGCACAACACUUAAUUUACAAAAUAGAAGGCUUGAUUUCCACCAUUAAUUUCUCCACUCAAUGAAUGAUGUAGCACCAAUCACCAUACCGUAGAAGGAAGACUAAUGUUACUCCGCUUUCUAACACGUGGUAAUGACGGCGGGGAUGCAAACAACGGAUGAGGUUCCUUCAGGGAAUUUCUCUAGAAUCUUUGCCGGUGAAAUUGAAGAUACACCGGAGACAAGAAUGGUGAACUCGAAGAUACACCGGAGACAAGAAAUUUUGUUCUAACGUAACCGCUUUCGAUCCAGAAAACCGUCAAAUCCAUCAUUCGUUUCAACACUUCAUAUGAGACUACAACAAGGAUUGCAUAUCGUUGUUCAGAAAUCUUUGUUAGGGUUUGGAGAUGUAAAGAUGAAAUAAGUGUCUGAAAUUUUCUUUCAAGUUAUAAAAGGGCAUUUCAGUCAUAUUCUUUAAUUUUAUAGAAGAAGGGAAUUUAUGUAAUUUAAGUUUUAGGUUGGGUAUAUAUGUAAUUAGGUUUUAAAAUAGAGAGAUAUAUGCAAUUCUCCCUAAUAAAA